GAAAUGCGAUAAGUAGUGUGAAUUGCAGAAUUCAGUGAAUCAUCGAAUCUUUGAACGCACAUUGCGCCCCUUGGUAUUCCAUGGGGCAUGCCUGUUCGAGCGUCAUCUACACCCUCAAGCUCUGCUUGGUGUUGGGCGUCUGUCCCGCCCCCGCGCGUGGACUCGCCCCAAAUCCAUUGGCAGCGUUCCUUGCCCCCUCUCGCGCAGCACAUUGCGCUUCUCGAGGGCGGCUCCGGGACGCGAUCCAGCAAGAUGACCACCGUCUUUGACCUCGGAUCAGGUAGGGAUACACGCUGAACUUAAGC
rnacentral:misc_RNA from 1 species